GUGCUGGCUCAGUUGGUUAGAGCGUGGUGCUGAUAAUGCCAAGGUCACAGGUUCGAUCCCCAUAAGGGACU